rnacentral:lncRNA from 1 species
AGUGUAUAAUGAGCAGUGAGACGACUGGAGGUCACUUUCAUCGCCAUCUUGGUUUUGGUGGGUUUUGGACAGCUUCUUUACGCAUGCUGUUUUAUCAGCAAGGUCUUUGUGACCUGUAUCUUGUGCCGACCUCCUAUCUCAUCCUGUGACUAGGAAUGCCUUAACCUCCUGGAAUGCAGCUCAGAAAUUUGGGUGCAGACAGGCACACAGGGAGAACACCAUGUCAACACGAAGGCAGAAGUUGGAGUGAUGAGUCUACAAGCCAAGGAUUGCCAGCAAUUCAUCAGAGGCCAGGACAGCAGCCUGGGGCAGCCCCCUACAUGGUACCAACUCCAUCAACACCUUGAUCUCAGACUUCCAACCUCCAGAACUGUUGUCACCCUGCUUGCACAUGGAAGGGAGGCCUGAGAGGCUGCAGAAUGGCCCUGGAGAAGGCAAGAGACAUCAUCUGGUUGGCCUGGAGUGCACGUCUGUGAGAGACUUUGGGGCAGUUCUCUCUUCUCUAUGCUAGAGCCAUUGAUGCCCUGUGCACUUCAUUGCCUUUGACCAUCAUUCCUUGCUCCUGGAAUGCCACCUCCUCUUUGCCACAGUUAAUAAAACCAGCUGAAGCCUC